rnacentral:rRNA from 1 species
UAACACAUGCAAGUCGAGCGAUGAGGCUCCUUUCGGGGGGUACAUCAGCGGCGAACGGGCGAGUAACACGUGGGUGACCUUCCCCAAAGACGGGGAUAACUCUUGGAGGGCGGGGGCUAAUACCCGAUGUGCUCAGCAGUUCACUCUGUUGAGUAAAGCUAUGGCGCUUUGGGAUGGGCCCGCGGCCCAUCAGCUAGUUGGUAGGGUAAAGGCCUACCAAGGCUAAGACGGGUAGGGGGCGUGAGAGCGCGAUCCCCCACACUGGCACUGAGACACGGGCCAGACUCCUACGGGAGGCAGGAGUGACGAAUAUUGCGCAAUGGACGAAAGUCUGACGCAGCGACGCCGCGUGGGCGAUGAAGGCCUUCGGGUCGUAAAGCCCUUUUCUGGGGGAAGAGAAAGGACGGUACCCCAGGAAUAAGCCCCGGCUAACUACGUGCCAGCAGACGCGGUAAAACGUAGGGGGCAAGCGUUAUCCGGAUUUACUGGGCGUAAAGAGCGUUGAGGCGGUUUUGUAAGUUGGGCGUGAAAGCCCUGGGCUUAACUCAGGGAAGCCGUUCAAUACUGCGAAACUUGAGGGCAGCAGAGGGAGGUGGAAUUCCCGGAGUAGCG